rnacentral:rRNA from 1 species
AGAGUUUGAUCCUGGCUCAGGAUGAACGCUAGCGGCAGGCAUAAUACAUGCAAGACGAACGGUAAGUUUGGUAGCAAUACUAGACCUAGAGUGUCGUACGGGUGCGUAACACGUAUGCAACCUACCUUUUACAGGAGUAUAGCUCGGUGAAAACCGAAUUAACCCUCCAUAAGAUCAUAUUCAGGCAUCUGAAAGUGAUUAAAACUGCGGUGGUAAAAGAUGGGCAUGCGUUUGAUUAGUUAGUUGGCAGUGUAACGGACUACCAAGACGAUGAUCAAUAGGGGACCUGAGAGGGUGAUCCCCCACACUGGCACUGAGAUACGGGCCAGACUCCUACGGGAGGCAGCAGUAGGGAAUAUUGGACAAUGGGUGAGAGCCUGAUCCAGCCAUGCCGCGUGCAGGAAGAAGGCGUUAUGCGUUGUAAACUGCUUUUGCCAGGGGAUAAAACGGCUCUGCGGAGCUAAUUGAAGGUACCUGGUGAAUAAGCCACGGCUAACUACGUGCCAGCAGCCGCGGUAAUACGUAGGUGGCAAGCGUUGUCCGGAUUUAUUGGGUUUAAAGGGUGCGUAGGCGGCCCACUAAGUCAGUGCUGAAAUAUCCCGGCUUAACCGGGAGGGUGGCAUUGAUACUGGUGGGCUUGAGUACAGAUGAAGUAGGUGGAAUUGACGGUGUAGCGGUGAAAUGCAUAGAUAUCGUCAAGAACACCGAUAGCGAAGGCAGCUUACUAAGCUGUAACUGACGCUGAGGCACGAAAGUGUGGGGAUCAAACAGGAUUAGAUACCCUGGUAGUCC